rnacentral:piRNA from 1 species
UACCGGGACUGGCCAGUGUUGAG